GACGUAGGGUGCGAGCGUUGUCCGGAUUUAUUGGGCGUAAAGAGCUCGUAGGCGGCUCGUCGCGUCGACCGUGAAAACCCGCGGCUUAACUGCGGGCUUGCGGUUGAUACGGGCGGGCUAGAGUUCGGUAGGGGAGACUGGAAUUCCUGGUGUAGCGGUGAAAUGCGCAGAUAUCAGGAGGAACACCGAGUGGAAGGCGGUCUCUGGGCCAUAACUGACGCUGAGAAGCGAAAGCAUGGGGAGCGAACAGG
rnacentral:rRNA from 1 species